UACGUAGGGGGCAAGCGUUGUCCGGAAUCAUUGGGCGUAAAGCGCGUGUAGGCGGCUCGAUAAGUCCGCUCUGAAAGUCCAGGGCUCAACCCUGGGAUGCGGGUGGAUACUGUCGGGCUCGAGUCCGGAAGAGGCGAGUGGAAUUCCCGGUGUAGCGGUGAAAUGCGCAGAUAUCGGGAGGAACACCAAUGGCGAAGGCAGCUCGCUGGGACGUGACUGACGCUGAGACGCGAAAGCGUGGGGAUCAAACAGG
rnacentral:rRNA from 1 species